rnacentral:lncRNA from 1 species
GUUUGCCAUCACAUUUACUGAAGCAAGCCUAAUACGGUUGGCAACUGAGGGCCUCCCUCUUGGUGCCAUCAGACGCGCAGCCAAACACGCAACCAAGCAGCAAUGCUUUGUCUGUGGCGAGAGGGGGGCUGCCAUCACAUGCUCAGAGACAGGCUGUGAACGAAGCUUCCAUCUGCCCUGUGCCAUGGAUGGGGAAUGUGUCACCCAGCACUUUAGGCAGCGCAGGUGCUACUGCUGGGAGCACCGCCCUCGGCAGGAAAUUCAGGAAGCUCCAGAAGAAGGCACCAUCUGCCUCAUCUGCUUGGAGCCUGUGGGGGACAGCUUGUCCUACCACACCAUGGCGUGCCCAACGUGCCAACAUGCCUGGUUCCACCGGGGCUGCAUCCAGCAACAGGCCUUGAAUGCUGGCGCUUUCUGCUUCUACUGCCCCGGCUGUCGAGACAAAGAUCAGUUCUUUCAAGAAAUGGCCACCAUGGGGAUACAAAUCCCUCACAGGUUGGUGUCCUUCUGCUCAGUUCUGCUGACAUUAAGGCUGUCAUGCUGGGCCUGCCCAGGGACUGUCUCAGCAGGCCUAGCCCUUGGCUGUCUCGUGAACAUGUGCCCCAGCUUCAUGGAGAAGCUGGAAGUAGAGUUGGGGUGGAUGUGUUGGGAUAACCUUGCAUCUUAUGCUGGGCACACUGGGGGCUCAUCACUCGCCCUCUCUUCACUUGCAGAAGACCAAAUUGGAUAGAUGAGCACACGUACGCAUUCCUUCUGGAGAGGCACAGCCGCUGCGAUGCCAGCCAGUGCCUUUACCAUGGAGGCAGAGAGC